rnacentral:lncRNA from 10 species
UCCCUUGCAAAGAUGUUCCAAUGAUCCUCGAUGCUACAGGGCUAGAUACAAAAUCAAUAGAGAAGUCAGGAUUUGAUAUGGAUAACAGAAGCCACUAUGUGCACUAUGGCGAAACAAGCUCUACUGGACCAUUUCAUCAUGAAAUGAUACAACUUUUCUGAAUGUGGCAGUAAUAAACCAAAUGGUAAUAAUGAGAGUGAUUCUGAAAAACUGAAGAUCAAACACAUUCAGACUACUUUUACUUGGAAAUAUGAUACGUCAUAUGCUGAGUACAGGCCUCUGGGAGACUGAUUUCUCUAUUAUGAAUAAUAUUGAGUCAAAAUGUAGAAAUAAUUUAGAUAUACAUUAUCCUCUAAGCAAGAGACACAGCUCUGAAACGCAAUAAGAAUCGAGUCCUGGGCCGGAAACAAGAAGAUCUGAAGUCUGAUCUCAGUUCUGGAUCUUGCCUGAGCUAUCAUCCACAAAGACCAACGAGCAAGCUGGGUCUCCCAUGCUCCUGCUUCUUCAACAGGCCACCGUCUCACAUCCCUUUUGGGCCUACCAGCCAGAUGUCUCAGCAUUUCUCAAAAACAGAACCCAGCAUUUACUGCCUUUCAGGCUCUGUUGGCCAAGUCCUCUGUGUAGACAAAUGGUGGUUGCUCUCUGCAGCCUUUGGUGUUAUUGAUUUCUUUCCUCUCUUGCCUUCCAUGACUCUAUUUUGGUUCUUCUUCUACUUCCCUGACUGCUCAUCUUUAAUCUCUUUCUGCUUUUUCUUUUCCCUCUCCAUCCUCUAGGACGCUUUCACAACCCUCUUCUUUUCUAUCUGCUUGGGGAUCUCAUUCAAACUCAUAGGUCCCAAUGUUCAUCUAUCAUAUUUGUAUAAGUCACAUAGCUGUUGAUGAAAGCUUUCCAAAAUUCUAAUUCUUGACAGAUCAACUUUUGAUAUUGACAAAUAAAUAAGUCAUUUGUUUUCC